rnacentral:tRNA from 5 species
CGGAAUGUGGCGCAGCCUGGUAGCGCACUUGCAUGGGGUGCAAGGGGUCGGAGGUUCGAAUCCUCUCAUUCCGACCA